rnacentral:rRNA from 1 species
AUUGAACGCUGGCGGCAGGCCUAACACAUGCAAGUCGAACGAGUGGCGGACGGGUGAGUAAUGUCUGGGAAACUGCCCGAUGGAGGGGGAUAACUACUGGAAACGGUAGCUAAUACCGCAUACCAUCGGAUGUGCCCAGAUGGGAUUAGCUAGUGGGUGGGGUAACGGCUCACCUAGGCGACGAUCCCUAGCUGGUCUGAGAGGAUGCCCAGCCACCUUGGAAUGGAGACACGGUCCAGACUCCGAGGGGAGGCAGCAGUGGGGAAUAUUGGACAAUGGGCGAAAGCCUGAUCCAGCCAUGCCGCGUGGUUGAAGAAGGUCUUCGGAUGUUAAGGCACUUUAAGUUGGGAGGCGUUACCAACAGAAUAAGCACCGGCUAACUCCGUGCCAGCAGCCGCGGUAAUAC